AUGCUCACUUCGGCCGCACAUAUACUAAAAUUAGAAUGAUACCGAGAAGAUUAGCAUGGUCCCUGCACAGGGAUAACAUGCAAAUCCACAAAUGAUUGUAUGUUUCU
ensembl:snRNA U6 U6 spliceosomal RNA